UGGUUAAAAAGGGCCUUUCCCCAA
rnacentral:tRNA from 1 species